AUGGAGUGGGACCAAGUUGACAACAGAAAUGCUGUUUCUUCCAUCCCAGCUGCCAGUGGUAGCCCAGAGCUGGCACAGUCUCCAGCCUUCCUGACUGUGACUUCAGGAGAAAUUGCCUCCAUCACCUGCACUGCCAGUCAGAGCGUCAGUGACUAUCUAACCUGGUACCAGCAGAAACCAGGCCAGGCUCCCAAGAUUCUCAUCUAUGAUGCUGAUAAUCAGUCAUCUGGUGUCCCAGGUCAUUUUGCUGAGACACAGUCUGGGACAGAAUUCAUUCUCAAAAUCAGCAGGGUAGAGGCUGAGGAUGCCGCCAGCUAUUACUGCCAGCAGGGCUAUGCAGGCUCUCCCAUAGAGUGA